UUUGUAUUUAUAGGAGUCAUAGUCCUGUCUAACCCUAAUCCCAUGAGAAGCCUUCCUCUCCCCCGAGACAGCCAAGCGUACUCAACGUGCAAGAACAAAAUCAUUGUAGUAGCCAUUAUCUCCCCGGUCCUGAUAAUAUCCUUGAUAUAGAUACGUUUGUACGGAAGCAAUUGGAAACUUCAGGGCAAUACCUCGAACCCGUAACAAGUGUAUGGUCCAAGGUAGUUUCCAUAGCAGAAGGGUUGUAUGCUAGAUUCUCUGCUGCAGCAGUUUUUUUAGGUCCUUACAAGGCUGGUUCUUUUUUCUUUGUUGACAUCUGCAAUAAGAAUCUUGACACGUUCGGUGACAAUCACUACUACGCACAGAUGGUGGAUACGAUGCACAGUUUGAUCAAAGUCCAGGGAGGUUGUUGUUAAGGAAACAAAUGAAGCUAAAAUGCUAAGAGCAGAGAAUAGUUGUGGCCAGAACCAGCCUUGAUCAAGGUAAGAGUAAUAUCCCUUUGAGAAUUGGCUAGAUUGAUCAAGGAAAAACGUUUUUCAAGCCAGGGUUAGGAAAAACAUCCCUUUAGGUUGCACAAUAUAAAUGUAGUAUCAAUGACGGAAAGGUGCUACAUGAUGUUUUUCUUUCAAAAAGACACACCUC